UAUUUUAUGCUUGGCGCUUUUAAUUUGCAGCUAAUUUUUUAGCUUUAAAUUUUUUUCUUUAAAUUAAAACAAUAUGGAUAAUUAAGGAUAGGUAGUGGUGGCCUCGAUUGGACUUGAACCAACGACCACCACCA
rnacentral:antisense_RNA from 1 species